UKCCCCUAGUAGCGGCGAGCGAACCGGGAGAAGCCCAGCUUGAAAAUCGCGUCGCUUCGCGGCGCGAGUUGUAGUCUGGAGAAGCGUCCUCUGCUGCGGACUUGGCCCAAGUCCCCUGGAAAGGGGCGUCAGAGAGGGUGAGAACCCCGUCGGGCCGAGACCCUGCAGCUCCACGAGGCGCUGUCGACGAGUCGGGCUGUUUGGGAAUGCAGCCCUAAGCGGGAGGUAAAUUCCUUCCAAGGCUAAAUACGGGCGGGAGACCGAUAGCGAACAAGUACCGCGAGGGAAAGAUGAAAAGGACUUUGAAAAGAGAGUUAAAAAGUGCUUGAAAUUGCUGGGAGGGAAGCGAAUGGAGGCCUCGUGUGCGCCCCGGUCGGAUGCGGAACGGCGUGAUUGCUGGUCCGCCGCUCGACGCGGGGUGCUGGUCAGCGUGGGCUGUUGCGGCGGGAGAAAAGUCGGCCUUCAGUGGCCGGCCGAUGCCGUCGCGGCGGCCGAGGAAUCGAAGCGCGCGUCCCUCGGGACGGGACCCUUCGGGGUCACCUGCGCGCUCGAGACGCUGGCGUAGUGGGCUUUUCAUCCGACCCGUCUUGAAACACGGACCAAGGAGUCUAACAUGCAUGCGAGCCGGUGGGCGGCAAACCCACGUGAGGCGCAAAUAACUUAACUGGUGUGAUCCUCCUCCGCGGGGUGCAACAUCGACCGACCAUGAGCUUCUGCGAAAGGUUCGAGUAAGAGCAUGCCUGUUGGGACCCGAAAGAUGGUGAACUAUGCCUGAGCAGGGCGAAGUCAGAGGAAACUCUGGUGGAGGCUCGUAGCGAUACUGACGUGCAAAUCGUUCGUCAGACUUGGGUAUAGGGGCGAAAGACUAAUCGAACCAUCUAGUAGCUGGUUCCCUCCGAAGUUUCCCUCAGGAUAGCUGGAGCACGAGGAGUUUCAUCAGGUAAAGCGAAUGAUUAGAGGCAUCGGGGGUGAAACACCCUCGACCUAUUCUCAAACUUUAAAUAGGUGAGAUCCGACGGGGUUGCUUAACUGAACCCCCGGCGGAGAAUCCGA
rnacentral:rRNA from 1 species